CUCUUUUGUUGGACCAACUUCUAUUGGUGAAAGAGAGCUUUUGAGCCACAUAGAGCUCUUCUUCAGGUCUGGGAUUUCUGACCAACCAAUCUACCACAGCAGUAGCACCUUUGGCAUCCUAGGCUGGAGACACUGCUCUCCAUAUCUCAAAUUAUGACAAUGCAUAUAAUAGGAACUACAAAGCAGUCUCAUUACCUUUCUUCACUACCUCAAACAUCAAAAUUCCCCAUCCAUGCCACCCAUUCUCAACCGUCAAGAGUAAAACCUACCCCAUGCAUCUUUAUUUAUGCAGAAAUUUAGCCCCAAGCAAGUAAUCUGACCAAUAACUUUAGCCUCACGCUGCGAGCAGAAAGUCAGCGAGCAAAGGGAACUUUCCUGCUCUGUGUAGAGUGGGGAUUUUUUGGGGGUGGCAGACAGGGAGGUUUCCACCUUACGGUGUGCUGCAAAUACAUGACCCUCAAUGCAAAGCAGCCCAAAUUUCAAACAUGGCUUAGCUAUGUAUUAUUGGUCAGAUAAGUCACAAGACGUGGUUUGCGGAAUCGAUGAGCAUGGGAGCACCCCGAGCCAAGAUGUGCAGACACAUCAGCAAACGGUCGUGCGCGCGAUGGUGUUUUUCCGCGGCCAGGAGGCUGCCACAACACAAGGGGCAGCCGCUGCGGUCCAUCGCCCUCAGCCACCCGCUUCUCCGUAUGAAACACGGAGGCCCCCAGCGGGAGGCUCCCCAGCUGCUACACCAGGCGGCAUGCCACAUUCUGGAGGACAUAACAAUCCUGGAGGUUCCUGACUGCAAAGGGGCAUAGGAGCAACCCACCCAUGUAUACCAAAGAUGUUUCCAAGCUCCUGGUAACUGAGCAACAUAUCUACAAAUGGAAUGGCUGGUGACUUACGGAUGGAGGCCCGGAAGACAUGCUCUUUCCCGAAAUGUUACUACCCAUCUGGAGUGCCUACUCUGGGAAAAAGUUUGCAGCUAUCAGCACCCAGCAUUGGGUCAAAAUUCCUGGGGGGAUUAACAGGGUGCUGUGCUAGCAUCCACAUGGUUUACUGCCUCCCUGUAAGCUGCUGAAGUCUCUCUGGGUUCAUGCAGUUACCCGGGUGCAGCUAUGGCUUAUGAUAUCACCUGCUCAGACUAUAUCUACCUAUGGACCACAAACACACACGGGACAAUACAGACUCUCAGAGAACAGCCAUCACCACCCCUCCCCCCUUUGCCAGCACAUUUCUGGACUGCAUACAACCCUCCCUGCCAUAUUUCAGACAGGAUUUCCCCUCCCCCAUACAGUUUACAGUGUAGCUUGAUCAAUUUGUACAGUGCGGCUUACUAUAAGAGAAAGCAAUAUAAAAGUUCUUACUUUUAACACCAAAGCACAUCUUUGUAAGAAUGUGAGAGUAUCCAGUAAAAAUGUCAUUGUA